rnacentral:piRNA from 1 species
UGGGAGGGCAUCUGUGUUAGUCCUUUC